rnacentral:sRNA from 1 species
UCCAUUCUCGGUGUCGACUGCUGAUAGU